rnacentral:ncRNA from 2 species
GCUACUCUGAUAGUCUCGUAGCAACCGUGCUGUAAUCAGCAGAAGAGUACGUAAUCUAACUCAGCGGCUUAGAGGAUUAC